rnacentral:rRNA from 1 species
AUGCCGAUCUUGAGUUGGAACUACCGGGGCCUAGGGCAACGCCGGACAAUUCAGGAGCUCAUGUGCCUAGUGCACACUUUCAAGCCCAAGUUUGUGUUCCUUUCAGAGACGCGGCAAAGCAACUCAUACGUCAAUAAGUUAAGAUGGAGGCUUGGCCUCAAGCAUUGUAUCACGCAGCCCGGCAUUGGCAAAGGUGCGGGUAUUGCGCUAUUUUAUGAUGAGAGUGUCGAAGUAAUAAAGCUUGCCGUUGGAACGAGGUAUAUUGACGUGUUGGUUCGCCUAAACCCAUCUAGCAUGCAAUGGAGGUGUACGUUUGUCUAUGGUGAACCGAGAGCGAGUGAUAGACAUCACAUGUGGGAAUUGCUUAGGAGAGUGAAGAGUAACUCAAGAGCACCUUGGGUGAUGGUGGAAGAUUUUAACGAGGCGAUGUGGCAAUCUAAACAUUUCUCAGCUUCGAAGAGGUCUGAACGGUUGAUGGAAAACUUUUGGGAGGUACUGUCUGAUUGUAACCUGUUUGACUUGGGCUACAAAGGACCUAGCUAG